rnacentral:snoRNA from 1 species
AGCACGUUCCUUAGAUCCACCUGAUGGGGCUUUGCCCACCAACUUUACGGUUGGGUAUCAUCGGUGAAUGAGUCAUUGACGUGCGAGACAAGAGAGCACUCUUCUGUUUUGCCAACCUCCCCAGCACCAUGCUAGUUCUUCUGGCUGGAAGUCAUUUCUGACUGUUUGUGAUUAUGUUAGGGAGAUCGGCAGGUGUUGGGGACAUA